rnacentral:lncRNA from 1 species
GGGUUAGGGGAGAGGGGUGAGCUAAAAAGCCCAGUGAGCAAAAGUAAAAACAUGAUAUUAAUUCCUCCCUUUUUAGGUAUUUUAUUCUUCAUUUUAUUAUUAUUAUCAUUUGCUUUAAUUCCACACUUUUUAAGUAUAUUAUUAUUCAUUUUAUUAAUAACAUUUAAAUAACAUAACUUUUUACUUUACAUGCUUUCAUGAAAUGCAACACAUCACAUUUAAUCACAUAAAGGAUGGUAUUGUCACCAUUAGUCCUCACAUCUCCAAGUGCCAGGGGCGUAGAAUGGGCCUCGCUGGUCUUUCUCUUACAUAACAUACAUAACAUAACAUUCCAAAGUGCCAGG